AUGCUGGGGACGGCCAAGCAGCUGCUGCAGCUGCAGGCCGCGACGCACCGGUGGAACGGCGCCCGCCGCCGCCAGCCCCUCGCCCCCGCGCCCCCUCGCCACGCUCCCGCGGCCAGAGCCGGCAGAUUCCUCGCGUGCCUGCUCGCUCUCGCCGCCGGCGCCAUCCUCAUGCUCUGCGUCACGCUCCACCGCCCGGAGCCCGAUGCUUCCGCCGCCGCCUUGCCACGCGGCGGCGGCUACGCCGUGGUGAUCAACACGUGGAAGCGCUACGACCUCCUGAAGAGAGCCGUCGCGCACUACUCCGUCUGCGCGGGCGUGGACGCCGUCCACGUCGUGUGGAGCGAGCCGCGGGAGCCGCCGGAGGCCCUGCGCCGGAGCGUCCUCAACUGCAGCCGCGGCGCCGCCGACGUUGGGUUCGUGAUGAACAGGGGAAACAGCCUCAACAACAGGUUCAGGCCGAUCCAGGGGCUCAGGACGGACGCCGUCUUCUCCGUCGACGACGACCUCGUCGUGCCGUGCUCCACGCUGCGGUUCGCCUUCGGCGUCUGGCGGAGCGCGCCCUCUGCCAUGGUCGGCUUCGUGCCCCGGAUGCACUGGCCUGCUGACCCGAGAGGCAAUACCAAAGAGUACAGAUAUGGAAGCUGGUGGUCAGUUUGGAGAACAGGGACAUACAGCAUGGUACUUUCCAAAGCGAGUUUUCUCCAUAAGCGGUAUUUGGAUCUAUAUACCAACCACAUGCUACCGUCGAUACGCGAUUAUGUGACAGAGAAUAGGAAUUGUGAGGACAUUGCUAUGUCUUUUCUUGUUGCAAAUGUAACCGGAACUCCACCAAUAUGGGUCCAAGGAAGGAUAUUCGAGAUCGGAUCGACCGGCAUCAGCAGUUCAAAAGGCCAUGAUUUGCGGAGAUCUAGAUGUUUGAAUGCAUUUGCUUCCAUGUAUGGCCAUAUGCCCCUGGUAGCGUCUACAGUCAAGGCUGUUGAUAGCCGAACUAGCUGGUUUUGGUGA
rnacentral:rRNA from 1 species